CAUGAAUAGUAUUAAAAGAUGUGAAUUACAGCAAUAAAUAUGAAUGACAACUAAAUAUACAUGACAGCAGAAUAUAUGCAUGGCAACAAAUAUAUGAAUGGCAAACACAAAAUGGCAAAAACUGAAAAAUAAUACCAAUCAAGUACAAAAUAAUUGUUCAAAGUCCUCAUGGAGUGCAAAAACAAACACAAAACAAUUUUAAACUUUUACUAUAUGUAUAAAUAAAGGCCCACUUGGAACUCUAAUGACUGCAAGACUGGUUUUCUUUCAGUCUUUUUUUUAAUGCAAGAUUUAAAGUUUUUAAAGUAGUGCACUAAUCUUCCAUAACCUGCUCUCCCUGAUUGAAAAAGCAGUCUGGCUAAACUUUGCGAACUGAAAUUUAAUAUAACAGUCCCCUCUAGUGGAGGCUCCUGUUGACCUUGUGCCAGUGUUACAGUUUGUUACUAAUUGUUUAAAUGGAGGCAGGGCAAGACCAUUAAACGUCUUGUAUAAUAAACAGACAUUAGCCAAAAAAAAUUCAAAAGUCAAGAGAUUAUACUUCUUAACAAUACUACAGUGGUGGUAGAAAGUGAAUGUGAGCCCUGAGUGAUAGACAGUUGCUGAGUCGCUCGAGACCGCCUCUCUCCGUCUCCCUCCCUCUCAUGUCUUGAAGCCUCGAAGUAAUAAAUAGUACCACAUAUUUUAUUUAAUAAUUAGGUGUCGCGAAAAUAUACGUGCUGUACAGUUUGCAAACGGUAUCUUUAUCCAACUAAAUUCUCAGCUCAAGCUCACUGGCUUGUCCUUCAUGAACCAUCGUUCUCAGUUCACUAAUUAGCGAGGUGAGCUGAACGUUUGGCCGUGUCUCAGUUCAGUGAGUGGGACUACGCAGUCGGAGCUCUGGUCAAGCACUGAGCAAUUCAGUGAACAAAUCUUUUGAACGAAUCUUUUUAAUGAACUAAUUCUAAUGAUUCAGUACGCUGAAAAGAACUGCUUUGCCCAUCACUAAAAUGUGAGUAAGUAUUGCAGUUAUUUUUAGGUUACCAUAAUACUAUUGGAUAUACCAAUUAAUGCACUGACAUAGUUUCUUGUCAAAUAAACUCUGCAGUGAAUACCUGAAAGGGUUCCCAAAUCACUAAUGGACCAUGUUUGAAAGAUGUCUGCUCAGCAAAGCAAAGUUAAUUCAGUAUUGAUAUCUAAUUUUAAGAUAUGGUGUGUGUGUGAUGUGUGUAUGUGUGUCUCUGCUUCUGCGCUUGGAAAAUUUCAAAGAUGUAGGCUAAUUUCUUUUCCUUAAUAUUUGGAGAUAAAAAGUCAGAUGUACCGCACUGAAGGUGUUGCUGCUGGUCAACUGCAGACCUACAUGCUGUGCUGAUGGGUGGACUUCCUCUGAUGAGCCCCAAACUAUUACCAGCAUUACUUACUACAUAAUAAGUCAGUACUUAAUUACAAGAAUAAAUAAUUGUGAACAAACUUAGUAUCAUCAAUUUGUUCAUGAUACUAUCAAAGUAACAACAGCACUCCUGCUUAAACCAGGGCUAUAGCCAAGAUUUUAAAAAUGACUGCACUCAUAUACAGUACCACUCCAAAAUUUGGACACACCUUCCCAUUCACUUGAAUGAUAAAGUGCAUCCAAACUUUCUACUGGUAUCCUGCAUGAAUGUAAGAAUUGUUGGAUAAGAAGUAUUUCUUCUGACUAAAGUGUUAUUGUCACGUAAAAUAGAAAAGACAGAAGCUACCCUAAUUUCAAGCUAGCUUAAAUCAAAGUGAAUAAUUAAACAUACAGUACCAGUCAAAAGUUUGAACACAUUUUCAAGUGAACGAGAGGUGUGUCCAAACUUUUCAGCGAUACUGAAUUAUAUUUAGGGCUGUCAAAGUUAACGCGAUAACGCAAAUUUGUUUAAACACCAUUAAUCACAGGCAUCAGUUGGGGUAUGGCAAGUAUGGCAGUUGCCAUACCUUGGAAUCAGUUUUUUUUUAAAAACAAACAAAAAAACAAAAACCUAAUUUCACUUGUAUUGCCUUAAAAUUGAUCAUUUAUGCCCAACAAAUCUUUCCUGUGUAAAUAAAGGUAGAUGGAUUUUUCACAAAACUUAAAAAUGUAUCUAAAUCUGAAAUACAGCAGCUGCCUAGCUUGGCAGCUAACACAACCGAGCCUACAGCUGCAGCUACUGCUAGACGAACCACGGCAACAGCAGUCCAGGUCGAUGACAUAUUAAGGCUUAAAACUGACUUGCUAACCUCACGCAUUGAGAGAGAGAGAGAGAGAUAGAGAGGGAGAGAAGUUGGGAGGAAUGGAGCUAUGAUGAAGUUUCACUCAGUUUUACAAGUGUCGCUACUAAUGGUGUGAAUAAUGACUGUCCUCUCACUGUGCCAAAGUUGGACUUCACAAUGAUUCAGACUGUGAUAGGUAGAAGAGUUUCCUAUUCAAGGUGUUCAACCACUGGGCAAAGAAACAGAAGAGUCUGGUGUGUUAGAAUCCAGCAUGCAAGAGCAGCAUGACUCUCUGGAUGAGGAGGAGGCCAAUGGUUUGAGGAAUAAUCCAUCUUAUUUUCUUCUAUUGACAUGUCAUUCCAGUCUAUGGUGUUUAUGUGUGUGGUUUAUGUGCAGUAUUGACACAGAUGAUGACUGGGUGGAUGUUGGUCAGAGGUGCUGGAUAGAAGAGGCUGGGAAAGGGGUGUGAUGUUUUGAUGUGUUAUGUGUGCGACCCGCCACAUAACACAUCAUCUUAAAAAUCACAUGUUGUGCAUGAUGUACAGCAACUUUGCUUGAGUUUGAAGAGUGGUAUAAAUGUGCACUGCUAGAACGAGCACCUCAACACUUAGUUCUAUAUGCCGACGCUGUUGUGUUACACGUCACGCCUCGGAAUCCAGAACACCAGCAUGCUGUGUCAAAUCACACAUGGGGUAAGCAUUAUCCCGACUUUUUUUGGUUCUGUAUAAAAAUGCCAAACCGGCAUAAUGACGAGUCUUCUUUAUGGCAAUAUUGUGGGACCUCUGCAUAAAAGGGUCUAAUGACCACAUUUUGUGAGAACAAAUGGUGUAAAUUCUCAUUUUGGGUAUCAGAAUGGAACCAAUGUACAUAUUUUGCUUCUUUACACAUUACUGGUGCCUCAUCUAAAACCUCCCACAUUAACCAACUCUAUGAAAUAAGCAUGGAUGAAGCCGAGCUUGAUGUGGCAACGCCCAAUCAUCCUGAUGAGGACAUACGAGUCAUUCAUGACCAACAAAAAGUUUUCUAGAGGAUGACUUAGUUGGGAAAAGUGCCAGCAUCACUUGAACAACAAUCUGCAUAAACUCGCCAUGUUCCUGCGGUUACCAGUGCAGAUGUACAAUUACUCUGACACAGUGACCGGGGCGGCAUGCUCCGGUAAACUUCAAUUUCAGGUGACCCUGAAACCUCGGGGAACUGGAGUCAUAUUGGAAUGGAUAAGAUGAGAGUAUUUACUCCACCGUGCUCUAUGUGUAUGUUGCUCGAAACUGUACUAAGAAGCUUUUAAUGAAGAAAUGAAAUACUUGACAUGAUGCCAGUUGGGGCAAAAUAGGAGUGUUUUUAUUGUAGUCAACUGUUGGAGAGUUGUGUGCUCAGCUCCCUUAUAUUCUCAAUAUUCUGCCAGUACCUGUGCAAACAACUCAGGUUGCUGUCACAGUUGUUGGAGCUGAAUACACAAUUUACAUGCAUGGAGGAGGGGAGACUGUCUGGGGAAACUGGUUCUGGCCGGUAAAGGUGUGAAGACAUAUGCAUACAAAUAGUACAGCUAUUGCCGGUGGCGCCAAGCCGUUGAGUCUGGCCAUUAGAAUGCUAAUACCUGAGUGCUUUAUGGGGUUAAAGACAAAGAAGAUCUAGGUUGGGCAGAACAAUAACAAAAACCAUGAUUUGAUGAAAUAAAGUCAAAGUUAUUCUACAGGCCUGAUUUUGCCCCUGUGGACACAGUCUGUGGAAGUGGAAUUUGCAACCUCUGUUAAAGUUUGGCAUGCAGGGUGAAGACUUCAUGCUGACCACAAAUAUACUGCUGUCAGGGAACAAUUAUUGCAAAAUUGCACCCCUUUUUAAAUUUAUGAAAAUAGGAAUGGUGGCUCAAUCCACUUUUUUCAAGAUACAGGACACAUACUGUAUUGAACCAGUGGAAAAACUCUGGGAAAGGAACAGAGAUGAUGUUUUAACCCGUUUGUGCCAAAAGGACCAUGUUGUUGUCCGAGGUGACUCAUGUUUUAUACCUUAGUCAACCAUGAUUACAUUGACAUGUCUGUUGUUUGCUAUGAAAGUCAAGUACAUAAAAUGGUAACUUUGACUGUAAUAUUCCAAUUUCUCUAUUCAUUAGGAGAUGGCUGAAAGGAUUCCCCGGGUAUGCUGUUAGUUUGUUUGUGUGUGUGUGAGUUUUAUGAUGAUGCAUACAUUUCACACACUGACAGCUGUACUCUUCAUUCUGCAGGCCACUUUGCACAGUACAGCACAUACACAACCAUAAAACAAGAUUCAAGAGACAUUGUGCAUAUUGUGACUGUUGACAAGCAGGAAACUGACAGAAAAUUCCGUUAUUAUGGAGGAGUGCUUCAUUAGGACCAUGGAUUUACUCCUUGUGGAAAUUCCUGUGAAAGAAGUGAUCAUCGAUGCCCACGCACGGAUAACUGCAUUGCUUUUUUAGGAAAAUGGAUGUAUUAUUUGGAUUCCUGUGUCUUGGUAGUUGUUUGAUUGUACAGGUUAUACUGUUUGUUGCAGAUCCAGAGUGUGGCAAACAUAAGUUUGGCAUGGGGUCUCCAACAUUCCCUUGACAUUUGGCAUGCCUCAAAGAAUUUGGGCAAAAAGCUUUUACAGCUAAGAACCUUUUACAGCAGCACACUGACAGCGCCUGUUACACUCACUGGUUUAUCUUGCAAUCAGGUCGGCACAGUAAAGGACCAAUCUGCAAUCAAAGCGUGGAUCAAACCCACUGUGAACCACUUUUGGUAUCGUUGCAACAACCGAGGGACAGUUCAAGUGCUGUGAAUGAACUCAGUCAUCCUACUCAUAAUAAUAUGAUGCGAUUACAAGUACAGCAGCUCACCAGGCACUUACUGCCGUCAUUCUUGACAAGCGCUGGUUGAGGGAUGUAAAAAACUUCAUCAUCUUCAGGACAACUUCAGAUUUGGAGAAUUUCUAAAAUCACAUCCUCAUGUAUGCAGGAAAGCAUUUUGCCUACAGCCCACCUUUAUACAAAAUGCAUACUUUGCUUACAGCUGUUGAUUACAAUCACCACAACCACCACCUCCCUGCACGUAGCUGUGAUGGAUGAACAGACUGUAAUACAAUAAGAUAUCCAAGAGCUGGAGUAUCUACACCUUGAAGGAGACAAAGGACCAAAGCUACAUCCCAGACCUGCAGAAGGCCGUUCUUGCCAAGAGGAUGAGAAGUGCAACGGGCCUUUACAGAAAACAAAAUCUAGGACCCGAUCAUAGGUGCUUGGGUUUGCUUGCUGCUACACAGCCACCACCCACAUCUGAACUUGUCAGGACUAAGGUUUCACCGGGAGAGGGUGGUCCCUGAAGUGGAUGCUGAACUUUCCAUGCUUUCAUAGCUGUAUAUGUAUUUGUAAAUAAUUCAAGAGCUGUAAAAAUAAGAAUAAUAAUUGUUUUUAUAUGUAAAUAAAUAAACAAUGAACCAUCAAAAACUCAACAUCUGUUGACAUUGCACAUAAAUAGCAAAUGUAACAAUAAAAAAAAACUAUUUACAAUUGCAGGCUAUAAUAAACUGGUUUACAUAAGGCGGCGCACCCUGAAGCCAGUGUCUGGCUCUUGGGUCAGGAAAUGUAUCACAAAUUUUCUAAACACAGCAGCUUGGAAUUACUUCUCUGUUGUCUUUACCCAGACGGCCAUGCUGUCACAGUACAAACUGUCUGUAUGCUGCAUGCCUGUACUGUCACUGCUCCACUCCAUCUGCAAAACCCCCUCAUCUAAUAUAUAAUACUGCGUAUAUCCCAUAUUGUUUAUACAGUUUUCAGGGGCCUGGCAGCCUCUCAAUAUCUGCUGACAUGUCCCUGCAGUUUGCAGGUGCAGCAAUGUAAUGGUGCUCCUUCUGGGACUCUGAGGAACUCUAAAGAACGUCAAAACGUCACACAUCAGGCCAGGUAGUCUUGUCAUGACCUUUACCAGCAGUAACUCCUUGUGGGGAGCUGUCAGGGAAGAGAUUUUUGCCCACAACAUAAACUAUUUGUUUUAUUAAAAACCUAGUUGGGCAAAAAGCUAAAUGCAUGUGAUAUGAGAUUUUUAUGAAGGAGUGCAUUUCAGCUGCUCUUCUCUCCUGCAGCCUCCUCUGGUCAUCAGAGUCAAUCUCUUCUCUGACCCUAACUCCUCUGCCUCUCCCUCUUGUGCUCCCACCUCCCCUCCGCCUACGUCCUCCUCUCCUUUGACCU